rnacentral:rRNA from 1 species
CAGUUCGGAUUGGAGUCUGCAACCCGACUCCAUGAAGCUGGAUUCGCUAGUAAUCGCGCAUCAGCCACGGCGCGGUGAAUACGUUCCCGGGCCUUGUACACACCGCCCGUCAAGCCAUGGAAGCCGGGAGUGCCUGAAGUGCGUGAGCGCAAGCAGCGCCCUAAGGUAAAACCGGUGACUGGGGCUAAGUCGUAACAAGGUAGC